rnacentral:rRNA from 1 species
UGUGAUUUGGGGUUAUAUUACGGGACACCAAAUUAACUUGUUCAAUCAUUGGUUUUAGGAAUUUUUUCAAGGCUUCAAAAGUUUGUUCAGAAUUAGAAUGGGGUAUCCNUACAUAGCGGGGUGCGGACCCCAACGACGAAUGGUUCAAUCAAGUCUUCCAAAAAAGAAUAUAUANGAUUGCAUUGCAUAUACUAANGUAGGGAUCAUACCAGCANUNAUACACGAGAUCCCAUCAGAACUCCGCAGUUAAGNGUGCUUGGGCGAAUAUUGUAAUAGGAUGGGUGACCUCCCGGGAAGUCCUNGUGUUGCAUCCCUCUUUUUUUUUAAUUUGUUUUUUUUGGUUAAAACUUUAUGACUCUAUAACUUUUAUACCGUGAGGCCCAAACUGAGGCAUGUGAUACCUUUUCGGNAAUCCCAAAGAGAACCCUCCCGANGAAAGACACAG